UUAAGCGACCAAGCGUACACGGUGGAUGCCCUGGCAGUCAGAGGCGAUGAAGGACGUGCUAAUCUGCGAAAAGCGCCGGUAAGGUGAUAUGAACCGCUACAGCCGGCGAUGUCCGAAUGGGGAAACCCAGUGUGACUCGUCACACUAUCAUUGCGUGAAUACAUAGCGUAAUGAAGCGAACCGGGGGAACUGAAACAUCUAAGUACCCCGAGGAAAAGAAAUCAACCGAGAUUCCCCCAGUAGCGGCGAGCGAACGGGGAGCAGCCCAGAGCCUGCAUCAGCUUGUGUGUUAGUGGAAGCGUCUGGAAAGGCGCACGGUACAGGGUGACAGUCCCGUACACAAAAGCACACAGGCUGUGAGCUCGAUGAGUAGGGCGGGACACGUGGUAUCCUGUCUGAAUAUGGGGGGACCAUCCUCCAAGGCUAAAUACUCCUGACUGACCGAUAGUGAACCAGUACCGUGAGGGAAAGGCGAAAAGAACCCCGGCGAGGGGAGUGAAACAGAACCUGAAACCGUGUACGUACAAGCAGUGGGAGCACCUUCGUGGUGUGACUGCGUACCUUUUGUAUAAUGGGUCAGCGACUUAUAUUCUGUAGCAAGGUUAACCGCAUAGGGGAGCCGAAGGGAAACCGAGUCUUAACCGGGCGCUAAGUUGCAGGGUAUAGACCCGAAACCCGGUGAUCUAGCCAUGGGCAGGUUGAAGGUUGGGUAACACUAACUGGAGGACCGAACCGACUAAUGUUGAAAAAUUAGCGGAUGACCUGUGGCUGGGGGUGAAAGGCCAAUCAAACCGGGAGAUAGCUGGUUCUCCCCGAAAGCUAUUUAGGUAGCGCCUCGUGAAUUCAUCUCCGGGGGUAGAGCACUGUUUCGGCUAGGGGGCCAUCCCGGCUUACCAACCCGAUGCAAACUGCGAAUACCGGAGAAUGUUAUCACGGGAGACACACGGCGGGUGCUAACGUCCGUCGUGAAGAGGGAAACAACCCAGACCGCCAGCUAAGGUCCCAAAGUCAUGGUUAAGUGGGAAACGAUGUGGGAAGGCCCAGACAGCCAGGAUGUUGGCUUAGAAGCAGCCAUCAUUUAAAGAAAGCGUAAUAGCUCACUGGUCGAGUCGGCCUGCGCGGAAGAUGUAACGGGGCUAAACCAUGCACCGAAGCUGCGGCAGCGACACGUAAGUGUUGUUGGGUAGGGGAGCGUUCUGUAAGCCGUUGAAGGUGUGCUGUGAGGCAUGCUGGAGGUAUCAGAAGUGCGAAUGCUGACAUAAGUAACGAUAAAGCGGGUGAAAAGCCCGCUCGCCGGAAGACCAAGGGUUCCUGUCCAACGUUAAUCGGGGCAGGGUGAGUCGACCCCUAAGGCGAGGCCGAAAGGCGUAGUCGAUGGGAAACGGGUUAAUAUUCCCGUACUCGGCGUUACUGCGAAGGGGGGACGGAGAAGGCUAUGUUGGCCGGGCGACGGUUGUCCCGGUUUAAGCGUGUAGGCUGAGCAUCCAGGCAAAUCCGGAUGCUUAAGGCUGAGGCGUGACGACGAGGCGCUACGGCGCUGAAGCAACAAAUGCCCUGCUUCCAGGAAAAGCCUCUAAGCAUCAGGUAACGUCGAAUCGUACCCCAAACCGACACAGGUGGUCAGGUAGAGAAUACCAAGGCGCUUGAGAGAACUCGGGUGAAGGAACUAGGCAAAAUGGUGCCGUAACUUCGGGAGAAGGCACGCUGGCGCGUAGGUGAGGGGACUUGCUCCCGGAGCCGAGGCCAGUCGAAGAUACCAGCUGGCUGCAACUGUUUAUUAAAAACACAGCACUGUGCAAACACGAAAGUGGACGUAUACGGUGUGACGCCUGCCCGGUGCCGGAAGGUUAAUUGAUGGGGUCAGCCGCAAGGCGAAGCUCCUGAUCGAAGCCCCGGUAAACGGCGGCCGUAACUAUAACGGUCCUAAGGUAGCGAAAUUCCUUGUCGGGUAAGUUCCGACCUGCACGAAUGGCGUAAUGAUGGCCAGGCUGUCUCCACCCGAGACUCAGUGAAAUUGAACUCGCUGUGAAGAUGCAGUGUACCCGCGGCAAGACGGAAAGACCCCGUGAACCUUUACUACAGCUUGACACUGAACACCGGUCCUUGAUGUGCAGGAUAGGUGGGAGGCUUUGAAGCGUGGACGCCAGUCCGCGUGGAGCCGCCCUUGAAAUACCACCCUUUAAUGGCUGGUGUUCUAACGUUGGCCCGUAAUCCGGGCUGCGGACAGUGUCUGGUGGGUAGUUUGACUGGGGCGGUCUCCUCCCAAAGCGUAACGGAGGAGUACGAAGGUCAGCUAAUCACGGUCGGACAUCGUGAGGUUAGUGCAAUGGCAUAAGCUGGCUUGACUGCGAGCGUGACGGCGCGAGCAGGUGCGAAAGCAGGUCAUAGUGAUCCGGUGGUUCUGAAUGGAAGGGCCAUCGCUCAACGGAUAAAAGGUACUCCGGGGAUAACAGGCUGAUACCGCCCAAGAGUUCAUAUCGACGGCGGUGUUUGGCACCUCGAUGUCGGCUCAUCACAUCCUGGGGCUGAAGUAGGUCCCAAGGGUAUGGCUGUUCGCCAUUUAAAGUGGUACGCGAGCUGGGUUUAGAACGUCGUGAGACAGUUCGGUCCCUAUCUGCCGUGGGCGCUGGAAGACUGAGAGGGGUUGCUCCUAGUACGAGAGGACCGGAGUGAACGCACCGCUGGUGUUCGGGUUGUCAUGCCAAUGGCACUGCCCGGUAGCUACGUGCGGAAGAGAUAAGUGCUGAAAGCAUCUAAGCACGAAACUUGCCUCGAGAUGAGUCUUCCCUGAGGCCUUUGAGCCUCCUGAAGGGACGUUGAAGACGACGACGUUGAUAGGCCGGGUGUGUAAGCGCAGCGAUGCGUUGAGCUGACCGGUACUAAUGACCCGUGAGGCUUAACCUU
rnacentral:rRNA from 1 species